GCCUUCCUAGCUCAGUUGGUAGAGCAUCAGACUUUUAAUCUGAGGGUCGUGGGUUCGAGUCCCACGG
rfam:Onchocerca flexuosa genome assembly, scaffold: OFLC_contig0021970